rnacentral:rRNA from 1 species
AUUGAACGCUGGCGGCAGGCCUAACACAUGCAAGUCGAGCGGAUGAAGGGAGCUUGCUCCUGGAUUCAGCGGCGGACGGGUGAGUAAUGCCUAGGAAUCUGCCUGGUAGUGGGGGAUAACGUCCGGAAACGGGCGCUAAUACCGCAUACGUCCUGAGGGAGAAAGUGGGGGAUCUUCGGACCUCACGCUAUCAGAUGAGUCUAGGUCGGACUAGCUAGUUGGUGGGGUAAAGGCCUACCAAGGCGACGAUCCGUAACUGGUCUGAGAGGAUGAUCAGUCACACUGGAACUGAGACACGGUCCAGACUACUACGGGAGGCAGCAGUGGGGAAUAUUGGACAAUGGGCGAAAGCCUGAUCCAGCCAUGCCGCGUGUGUGAAGAAGGUCUUCGGAUUGUAAAGCACUUUAAGUUGGGAGGAAGGGCAGUAAGUUAAUACCUAGCUGUUUUGACGUUACCAACAGAAUAAGCACCGGCUAACUUCGUG